rnacentral:rRNA from 1 species
GAUGAACGCUGACAGAAUGCUUAACACAUGCAAGUCGAUGGGGAAGUGGUGCUUGCACCAUGGCAACCAUGGCGGACGGGUGAGUAACGCGUAAGGGACUUACCUGCAGGACUGGGAUAACAGAGGGAAACUCCUGACAAGAGCGGAUAAUGUCAUGGAGCUGCAUGGCUUUACGAUGAAAGUAGACGCCUUCCGAGAGCCUUGCGUCCUAUGAGCUAGUUGGUGAGGUAAUGGCUCACCAAGCCGAAGAGAGGUAGCCGGCCUGAGAGGGUGGACGGCCAAAAGGGGAAUGGGAGACGGCCCUUACUACUACGGGAGGCAGGAGGGGGGAAUAUUGGAGAAUGGCGGCAACGCUGAUGCAGCACUCCUGGGUGCACGAAGAAGGUUUUCGGAUUGUAAAGUGCUUUCAGCAGGGAAGAAGGAAGUGACGGUACCUGCAGAAGAAGCGACGGCUAAAUACGUG